CAUGCAAGUCGAACGGAUCCUUCGGGAUUAGUGGCGGACGGGUGAGUAACACGUGGGAACGUGCCUUUUGGUUCGGAACAACUCAGGGAAACUUGAGCUAAUACCGGAUAAGCCUUUCGAGGGAAAGAUUUAUCGCCAUUAGAGCGGCCCGCGUAGGAUUAGCUAGUUGGUGGGGUAAAGGCCCACCAAGGCUACGAUCCUUAGCUGGUCUGAGAGGAUGAUCAGCCACAUUGGGACUGAGACCGGCCCAAACUCCUACGGGAGGCAGCAGUGGGGAAUCUUGCGCAAUGGGCGAAAGCCUGACGCAGCCAUGCCGCGUGAAUGAUGAAGGUCUUAGGAUUGUAAAAUUCUUUCACCGGGGACGAUAAUGACGGUACCCGGAGAAGAAGCCCCGGCUAACUUCGUGCCAGCAGCCGCGGUAAUACGAAGGGGGCUAGCGUUGCUCGGAAUUACUGGGCGUAAAGGGAGCGUAGGCGGAUAGUUUAGUCAGAGGUGAAAGCCCAGGGCUCAACCUUGGAAUUGCCUUUGAUACUGGCUAUCUUGAGUACGGAAGAGGUAUGUGGAACUCCGAGUGUAGAGGUGAAAUUCGUAGAUAUUCGGAAGAACACCAGUGGCGAAGGCGACAUACUGGUCCGUUACUGACGCUGAGGCUCGAAAGCGUGGGGAGCAAACAGGAUUAGAUACCCUGGUAGUCCACGCUGUAAACGAUGAGUGCUAGUUGUCGGCAGGCAUGCCUGUCGGUGACGCAGCUAACGCAUUAAGCACUCCGCCUGGGGAGUACGGUCGCAAGAUUAAAACUCAAAGGAAUUGACGGGGGCCCGCACAAGCGGUGGAGCAUGU
rnacentral:rRNA from 1 species